UUAUUCCAAAUGUCAACUCUGAGAGGAACCAGCAUCCCACAACCAUGGCUGGCAGAUGCCAAGGGGAUGUGUGAGAUGGCCCAGCUCCAGGAUGAAACUCAACUUUAGGGAAGCUGGGGAGAGCCUCACAGCGCUGGACAAGCCAUCAGAUGGCACUGCCCCCAGGGACACACCCGGGGGCGUGGACAGGGAUAUGGAGGACCUAAGGCAAAGGGUGGCUUCAAACGUGACAGCAGAUCAGCCGCUGGGGAAAUACCAGAGGGGAUUUGACAGCUGGGCCAGGUGUUCCAGGACAGCACUUUCCAAAAGAUUUUCCAUCCAAACUUCCAGCAAGAAGUAGAUCUUCCAUCGUUAUCCAGAGCAUAUCUACGCAUUCAGGUAACUGAAGCAACAUUCCAGGAACCCUCACCAUCCCUCCCGUUGAACAGUUCGCUCUCCAGCUGGAGUCAGCUCUGGGCUGCCUCACUUUAACAAAAUGCUGGUUGCAGCCAUUGGAAUUAAUUUUACACCCUCUGAGUUGCAGUGCAAAAUUUGAAGACUGGCAUUUGGAAGCUCAGUA
rnacentral:lncRNA from 10 species